rnacentral:rRNA from 1 species
AGGACGAACGCUGGCGGCGUGCUUAACACAUGCAAGUCGAGCGGAAAGGCCACUUCGGUGGUACUCGAGCGGCGAACGGGUGAGUAACACGUGAGUAAUCUGCCCUUGGCUUUGGGAUAGCCACCGGAAACGGUGAUUAAUACCGGAUAUGACAUGGACUCGCAUGGGUUUGUGUGGAAAGUUUUUCGGCCAGGGAUGUGCUCGCGGCCUAUCAGCUUGAUGGUGAGGUAAUGGCUCGACCAUGGCUUUCGGACGGGUACGCCGGGCCUGGAGGACGGGUC